rnacentral:rRNA from 1 species
GAUGAACGCUGGCGGCGUGCCUAAUACAUGCAAGUCGAGCGAACAGACGAGGAGCUUGCUCCUCUGAUGUUAGCGGCGGACGGGUGAGUAACACGUGGAUAACCUACCUAUAAGACUGGUAUAACUUCGGGAAACCGGAGCUAAUACCGGAUAACAUGUUGAACCGCAUGGUUCAACAGUGAAAGACGGUCUUGCUGUCACUUAUAGAUGGAUCCGCGCCGCAUUAGCUAGUUGGUAAGGUAACGGCUUACCAAGGCAACGAUGCGUAGCCGACCUGAGAGGGUGAUCGGCCACACUGGAACUGAGACACGGUCCAGACUCCUACGGGAGGCAGCAGUAGGGAAUCUUCCGCAAUGGGCGAAAGCCUGACGGAGCAACGCCGCGUGAGUGAAGAAGGUCUUCGGAUCGUAAAACUCUGUUAUUAGGGAAGAACAAAUGUGUAAGUAACUAUGCACGUCUUGACGGUACCUAAUCAGAAAGCCACGGCUAACUACGUG